GGGCUCGUAGCUUAGCCAGGUAGAGCGACGGGCUCUUAACCCGUAGGUCCCGGGUUCGAAUCCCGGCGAGCCCGCCA
rnacentral:tRNA from 4 species